GGCCGGUUAGCUCAGUCAGCAUAGCGCUAACAACGCUAAGGUCGCGGAUUCGAUUCCCGUUCGGUCC
rnacentral:tRNA from 1 species